AUUAGAGUUUGAUCAUGGCUCAGAUUGAACGCUGGCGGCAUGCCUAACACAUGCAAGUCGAACGGCAGCGCGGGGGCAACCCUGGCGGCGAGUGGCGGACGGGUGAGGAAUGCAUAGGAAUCUGCCCGGUUGUGGGGGAUAACGUAGGGAAACUUACGCUAAUACCGCAUACGACCUUCGGGUGAAAGUGGGGGACCUUCGGGCCUCACGCGAUCGGAUGAGCCUAUGCCCGAUUAGGUAGUUGGUGGGGUAAAGGCUUACCAAGCCUGCGAUCUGUAGCUGGUCUGAGAGGACGACCAGCCACACUGGGACUGAGACACGGCCCAGACUCCUACGGGAGGCAGCAGUGGGGAAUUUUGGACAAUGGGCGCAAGCCUGAUCCAGCAAUGCCGCGUGCAGGAUGAAGGCCUUCGGGUUGUAAACUGCUUUUGUACGGAACGAAAAGCACCUCUCUAAUACAGAGGUGCGAUGACGGUACCGUAAGAAUAAGCACCGGCUAACUACGUGCCAGCAGCCGCGGUAAUAGAGUUUGAUCCUGCCUCAGUGCCAGCAGCCGCGGUAAUAAU
rnacentral:rRNA from 1 species